UCCUCCUGGAUGCCACGGAACUCAACAAUGAGAGCGAUUACUCUCUUUGCCAUCAGAAUCCUCCGACGACUCCCCCAGCGCCUUCCCCAUCUCCUCCGGUCGCAGUUUAGCCACCGCCCGGCCCGUCUCCUCCAUGUGGCGAAACAACAACGUCCGCCCAUCCGCUGCGUGCUCAGCUACCAAAGCUGUGAGGUCCACUUGGGUUAGAAACUGUUGUUGGACCACCUCCAUCACCUUGAUCUUCCACACCAAGAGCCUAGAAUCUCAAUUUCGCAGUGGAAUUGGAAGAGAAACCUGCUCCCAAUUCCAUGCUGAGGUACACUAGCUACCACACCAACUAGGGACAGAUC
rnacentral:lncRNA from 1 species